CUCCCAGCCCGAAUUCUGCAAUAGAAUCUCUUCCUUCCAGAAGAAGCUUUCUCGGGGUCCCAGCCCCCAGCCCUCUGCAGCCCUCUGGAGUGCCGGGGUGACAGCAGCUCCCAUGCAGGGGCAGGACCACCCCUGUUUGCACUUGUCAGCCCUUGGGACCCCCUAGACCUUUGAAUUCUGCUUCAGUAACCUUACUCCCCAGAAGUAUUCUCACCAGUGUCCAAAGAGGCAUGUUUAAAUGUUCAUCAAUAAAGGAAAAGUGAAAUCAAUGUUAAAAGGAGCAAGUUAAAGAGUGAUCGGCCCUGGCUGGUGUGACUCCAUGGAUUGAGUGCCGGCCUGCAAACCAAAU